rnacentral:lncRNA from 1 species
ACCUUGUGCGAUGUCUUUCUGAACUCCCUCAGCUGUCCGAGCUUCCAUAAUAUCAUCUGGACUUCUCCGAUAAAGAGCUCCCCCAUUCAUCUACCGGACUGCUCCAAAUGCUCUUCGGGCUUCGUUAUCAGCCGACUUUCUAUAGUGAUCGGCUACCCUUUGAAUCUCUUCCAGACUUCUUCCUGCCACGAAUGACUUUACUCCA